rnacentral:rRNA from 5 species
GUCUAAACGACUCUCGGCAACGGAUAUCUCGGCUCUCGCAUCGAUGAAGAACGUAGCGAAAUGCGAUACUUGGUGUGAAUUGCAGAAUCCCGUGAACCAUCGAGUCUUUGAACGCAAGUUGCGCCCGAAGCCUUCUGGCUGAGGGCACGCCUGCCUGGGCGUC